ACACAUGCAAGUCGAGCGAUAACGGUCUUCGGACUUAUUAAAGCGGCGGACGGGUGAGUAACGCGUGGGAAUCUACCCAGUAGUGGGGGACAACAGUUGGAAACGGCUGCUAAUACCGCAUACGCCCUACGGGGGAAAGAGGGGGAUCUUCGGACCUCUUGCUAUUGGAUGAGCCCGCGUAAGAUUAGCUAGUUGGUAGGGUAAAGGCCUACCAAGGCGACGAUCUUUAGCCGGUCUGAGAGGAUGAUCAGUCACACUGGAACUGAGACACGGUCCAGACUCCUACGGGAGGCAGCAGUGGGGAAUAUUGCACAAUGGGGGGAACCCUGAUGCAGCCAUGCCGCGUGUGUGAAGAAAGCCUUAUGGUUGUAAAGCACUUUCAGCAGGGAGGAAAGGGGCGUAGUUAAUAUCUGCGUUCUGUGACGUUACCUGCAGAAGAAGCACCGGCUAACUCCGUGCCAGCAGCCGCGGUAAUACGGAGGGUGCAAGCGUUAAUCGGAAUUAUUGGGCGUAUAGCGCGCGUAUGCGGUCAUGUAAGUUGGAGGUGAAAUCCCCGGGCUCA
rnacentral:rRNA from 1 species